AUCUUAGACCUUACUCCACUCCCCUGUGCAUGGCUAGUUCACUGGCAUGGAUGGCCCCAUGGUCCCUUGUUGGUAUCUCCUUACCUUGUAAAGCACGGCUCUGCCUUGGAUGGGCCCCUGAGAGUGAGAACUGUCUGUUGUGCCUUAUGGCUGAAGUGGCUCCUGCCUUUUACCUCCUUCCGGAAUGUCUGCUCUCCUGACCUUUGGAGAUAUCACAGUGAUCACAGUGAGAAUCAUAAAUGGAGAACCCAAGAGUGAUUUCCAGAGGACUUUGAAAGGAUGCACAGUGGAGGCCAUGGCCCCGGAAGAACGCUGGUAGUGCUGCAUAACAUCCUGGUGCUGAUGUCUGCUUUCCAUUAGUGCUCCAAUCAACACAGAUUUCUAGUACUGGUGAGAGACAGAAAUAAAAACGUGUAUUAAUUUACCCAGA